rnacentral:rRNA from 1 species
UACAGAGGGUGCGAGCGUUAAUCGGAAUUACUGGGCGUAAAGCGUGCGUAGACGGUUAUUUAAGUCGGAUGUGAAAGCCCCGGGCUCAACCUGGGAAUUGCAUUCGAGACUGAAUAGCUAGGGUACGGUAGAGGGAAGUGGAAUUUCCGGUGUAGCGGUGAAAUGCGUAGAUAUCGGAAGGAACAUCAGUGGCGAAAGCGACUUCCUGGACCAGUACCGACGUUCAGGCACGAAAGCGUGGGGAGCAAACGGGG